GAUGAACGCUGGCGGCGUGCCUAAUACAUGCAAGUCGAGCGAACAGACGAGGAGCUUGCUCCUCUGACGUUAGCGGCGGACGGGUGAGUAACACGUGGAUAACCUACCUAUAAGACUGGGAUAACUUCGGGAAACCGGAGCUAAUACCGGAUAAUAUAUUGAACCGCAUGGUUCAAUAGUGAAAGACGGUUUUGCUGUCACUUAUAGAUGGAUCCGCGCCGCAUUAGCUAGUUGGUAAGGUAACGGCUUACCAAGGCAACGAUGCGUAGCCGACCUGAGAGGGUGAUCGGCCGCACUGGAACUGGGACACGGUCCAGACUCCUACGGGAGGCAGCAGUAGGGAAUCUUCCGCAAUGGGCGAAAGCCUGACGGAGCAACGCCGCGUGAGUGAUGAAGGUCUUCGGAUCGUAAAACUCUGUUAUUAGGGAAGAACAAAUGUGUAAGUAACUAUGCACGUCUUGACGGUACCUAAUCAGAAAGCCACGGCUAACUACGUG
rnacentral:rRNA from 1 species